GCCGGGGUGGCGGAAUGGCAGACGCGGGGGACUUAAAAUCCCCUGACCGAAAAGGUCGUGCGGGUUCGAGUCCCGCUCCCGGUACCA
rnacentral:tRNA from 1 species